rnacentral:lncRNA from 1 species
AACGAAGCCCGAUCGCCACGAAACCGGUGCCAUCGCGAAGCUUGAGAUGAGGAGAGUCGGGAUACGCCCUCCGAUCGUCCAUCCUCCGCCGGAUCUCGCCGGAAAAACCCAAAAACGCGGCUGCCUCCACUUCGCCGGAACUCUCUCCUCCGGCCACCAAAACCGACGCCGCUACCGCCAAAAGGAAGCUCUCUCCAAGGGGAGCCGAUCGCCACCAAGAUCGGCCGGAAAGGCCGCCGGAAAC